GGGUGACACCAAAAAAAUCAGUGUUGCAUAUGGAAACUAAAAAAAAAGAAAGUUAUGUAAUAAGAUGUGGUACAGAAAGGUAAGACCAAAGAACACCUUUCUUAUUAUGAUAAUUAAAUUUCUGACUCUGGUCCCAGAAUAAUAAAAUAUCAAAUAUCAAAAGCUUAUGUACCAUGAUUUUGCUUCCUCUAUAAGUGGCACAUCUUUAUUGUCCAUUAUAUUUUGUCCAAAGAACUAAAGGAUCUGCAGCCUCUAGCUUGACAUACUUUGCAUUAUCAGGAUCAGAAAAUAAAAUAAUUCCUUAAGUCACAAGCUUCCCUGGGCAGUUUUACUACUACUCUUCUGCACAACACAUUAAAGGCAUUUUAUGCAAUUGUUCAGCAGCAAAAGCAAAGUUUACAUGUUACAUCUUUUUUUUUUUUUUCUUUUUUUUUUUUGAGACAGAGUCUUGCUCUGUCGCCACCCAGGCUGGAGGUACAGUGGCUUACACCUGUAAUGCCAGCACUUUGGGAGGCCAAGGCAGGUGGAUCAUUUGAGGUCAGGAGUUCCAGACCUGCCUGGCCAACAUGGUGAAACCCCAUCUCUACUAAAAAUACAAAAAUUAGCAGCGUGUAGUGGAUACAUGCCUGUAAUCCCAGCUACUUGGGAGGCUGGGGCAGGAGAACUGCUUGAACCCUGGAGGCGGAGGUUGCAGCGAGCUGAGAUCAUGCCACUGCACUCCAGCCAGGGCGACAGAGUGACGCUCCAUCUCAAAAUAAAGAAAUGAAAUGAAAUGAAAUGAAAAGGAAAGAAAGAAAAAAGAAAGAAAGAAAGAAAGGGAAAGAAAGAAAAGAAAGGAAGGGAGGAAGGAAGGAAAGAAGGAAGGAAGGAAAGACAGACAUCUAAGAUAUAUCAAAUGUAUCUGUGGGUACAAGAGGGUAGGUGCGGCACAGAGGGAGUGGGAAAAUCACUAUAAAGGGUAAAAGUAGCAAAAUACAAUGAGAGGGGCCUUG
rnacentral:lncRNA from 1 species